UUCUGGAUGGACAUUCGCAGAUACAUAUAUAUUACCCUUAUACUAACAAGCUCAUUAUGCUAAUUACGAUGAUCACAUUUACUUAAAAAAUCACUUAUGUCAUGAAUCAAUUCCUCGUCACAGGAACCCCUAGAAAAUUAUAUCAUUAUGUUAUCAGACUGUUUUGCUUCCAUAUGGACUGUUAGAAAAACAACGACGAUGAUGAAGGUGACGAUUAUGACAGUAUCGUGGUGAUAAUUAUGUAAAUAGUGGCGCUCAAUUCGUUGGAUAUAAUGAUGGGUCAUUAUCCACGCUUCGGCAUUCAUUAUCUCUAUUCUCUUAUGUUACAACUUAUAUCUUCCAUCGCCCGGUUCCUUCUCUUAAUAUGUUGUUUACUCCAUUUCAAUUAGUCUCAGAAGGAAUAUAAUCAUUGAUAACCUCGAGGAUACAUGCAAUAUCAGUGGCUGCGAUUUUAUUUAAUGAGGGGAUGGGGCGGCCCCAAUCUGCAUUUGAGGUUCCGGAGUUAGAUUUUGAGUGAGUUUAAAAAAUGUCGCGAAAUUUAAAUUGAAAAAAAAAAUAGUAAUUUUUCUACAAAAAUAGACUCUCCGUCGAAAAACAAUCAUAUAGAAGUGAUUGGUUCAUAUUUCAUGUUGCACAUAGAAUAAACAAAAAUAAAGCUCUAAAAUCCGAGGGGAUGAUUACCUGACGACCCCCUUGGGACAUGUCCCCGCCCACCAUCCCCCUUUAUCCCUGGGAUAAUCGCCUGUGGUGAUUAUUCAUACCAAUCAUAAUAAUGAGUAAACUUUUUUUGUCAUCGCGCCACAAGGGAACAAUAAGGUGAGCGUGAUUUAUUAUUUUAAACUCAUUAAAUUUGUGUAAUUUGCAUUUAUAUGUCUUUAAAGGACAAUCGCAUGAGGGAUUCUGCAAACUUUAUCUAAAUUAUAUAUUAUAUUGAUGGCAAUCGAUCUUUGAGUUUAAGAAAUGGGGCUACCCAGAUCGAAUAAUUCGAAAGUCGAUUCCUUGUUUUAGUUUUGAGGAUAAAGCAGCUGUAUGAUUCGAGUCCUGCUGUUUUUCAAGAGGCAUAUCCCCUACCCCCCAACAAUAAAUUAGGGGCCAAGAAAAUUGGCAAUAAGCGAUAAGACAGGCGUUGUGGCCCAGUUGGAUUAGUAUCCGGAAUAUAAAACAGAUGUUUGUGGGUUCGAAUCCCAUGCAGCCAUGGCGUAAUUUCGUUCAGCAAGAAAUUGAUCCGAAAAAUGCUGAACUCAACCCAGGUGAGGUUAAUGGAUACGGCAGGAAGUAAUUCCCCAAGAGAGCUGUAAGCAUCCGACAUAGGAGCGCCUUGUGCACCGGUGGACAUGGUGGAUAUGUGCGCUGGACAAAUACCCUAUACAUAUACACGUUUGCAAAUGAAUCAAAUGCAAUAAUUACUGUCGCAUUUUCGGUGCUCAUAAAUGCAAUCAUAAAUGCAAGUGUAUAGGUUUGGUUUCUGUUCGACAUCACCCUUAUUUUAAUGUAAAACGUAAAUAAAUGAACUCAUUAACGAAUAGAGAAGUAAUAUUGGGAUAAUUUAUAGUUUAUUCACGUGUGUAAACGUUAUGAUACAUUGUCUUGUGAACACAUCGUUUAUAUAGUACAUUUUAUUUGAAAGAAUUCUUCACAAUGCGUACAUCAUAAAAAGAAAGGGGAAAAAAAUCGAAAUAGUCGCCCACGCCCGAAGUUGAGCUCAAGUAUAUCAUCGCCCAAUCAAUAUUAAAGGACACCCCUAAUUGGAGAGUUUACUUACAAUUUGGGUAAAGAACACGCAAUGACCUGAAACCACAUCUUUCCGAUGUUUAAUAAUUUUGACAUAAAGACGAAUAUUGAAAAAUAAAAAUCGGAACUGGGGCAGCCUCUGACGUGAUAACGAAAUUUAACCGUUUACUGCGUUCUACGUUGACUAAAAAUAUCGUAUUGAAGGAAAAAGGAACCUACAUGGAGACAAUUACGAAUAUUUCGUCAGAACCAUUGAAAGACUAUAUGAAAGUAAACAAGUCAUAAUGAAAUAAAUGAAUUAAAAAACACUCUAAAAAUUAAAAGCUCAAUCAACAUUUUUCAGUUGGAGUGACAACCUUUCCCAAAUGUUAUACAUGUAUCUAACCACGUGCAUAAAGCUGAAUUCAACGUUUUAAGUGUUGAGUCGAACCGUUUAAAGUUGUUAACACAACAUCUAGAAAGUUUGUAACUCCUCCAAUCUUUCAAACGUUGAUUUAACAUUUUAUAUUUUCAGAGGGUUAGUGUACGAAUCGGGAAAAUGUUCAUCAGUAAUUGAUUCCAUUCAUUCUGUAAUCUUAACACCACCAGAACAUUAUGAAUAGAUUAUUUAUAGACGUUCCCAUUUCGGUUCAACUACAAAAUAAAUUAAAAUCUAAUCAGAUAUCUACUUGCAAAUAAACUAUUUUUUUUCAUUUUGAGUUUUUUAAAUAAUUCUCUGAAUGGAAACUAUAUGCAUUGAUUAAUUAUGCUGUAAGAAAUUUUAAUGUGGAUGGCUAAGGCGCUGGUCGUGAAGAUGACGCUGAAGAGGAAUGCUAUAUCAUUUUUUCUUUAUUAGUUGUACAAUUUUCAUCAAAGAUGGCGCUGUUUAUAUAGUGCUUGAAAGUAGGCAUUGACUAAUGUAGGUACAUAAAUGAACAAGCUUAUUCCAACAAUAGAUCAGAGAAAGUUGCGCUUAAUUACAUCGAGAAGAUUCAAGCAAAAUUAUAUAUUUAAACACAAAUAAAAAAUCACUCCAACAGAUCCAUGUUACUUUAAAAAAAAAACGGGAUAUACUUGGAAGGAUACAAUUCGAGUCACAUUAAGAAUAUACCACCGUUAGGAUAAAAUAUUACUCUUAUAGAUUAAUCUGGAAUCAUUAAUAAAUUCUUCAUUUUCAGUAUUUUUUUAGGCCUAUUGCGAAUGAAAAAGAAAAUGGACAUAAAGGUAUUUAGCACAUUUCUUUUACACGUCAUUCAAAAUUAAAACAUUUCUUUGAAAAAAAA